AAUGUCACUCAAAUACCAAAAAAUGCUUCAGUGAUAGUCCGUAGAACUCGUUCAGGACCAAAGCAAAAGGCAAUGACUGCAGCAGAAAGACCACAGUCGACCGGAGAGGCAUCUAAACCAGUACGUGAUAUGUUUUAUUUUAUAGUUAAAUAUUCUCACAGAUAUUGACUUGUAGUCUUUUUUGUAAGGUCCGGAAGUGUGUCUGCAACUUAGCUCCACCUAACCUCCCUUAUUCAUUUUUCUGCCUGCAAUUAUAUAAGAAAUACAAUUCAUGUCAAUGUUUGUGGGAAUUCUGUUGAUUUCUUUGUAACAAAUGCUUUGUUGUACAAAGAUUGUUCUUUUUUAAUAAACAUUUUAUUUUCAA